rnacentral:rRNA from 1 species
GGUUAAGCGACUAAGCGUACACGGUGGAUGCCCUGGCAGUCAGAGGCGAUGAAGGACGUGCUAAUCUGCGAAAAGCGCCGGCGAGGUGAUAUGAACCUUUGACCCGGCGAUGUCCGAAUGGGGAAACCCAGUGCAAUCCGUUGCACUAUCGUUAACUGAAUACAUAGGUUAACGAGGCGAACCGGGGGAACUGAAACAUCUAAGUACCCCGAGGAAAAGAAAUCAACCGAGAUUCCCCCAGUAGCGGCGAGCGAACGGGGAGCAGCCCGGAGUCUGAAUCAGCUUGUGUGUUAGUGGAACGGUCUGGAAAGUCCGACGGUACAGGGUGAUAGUCCCGUACACGAAAGCACACUUGCUGUGAACUCGAAGAGUAGGGCGGGACACGUGGUAUCCUGUCUGAAUAUGGGGGGACCAUCCUCCAAGGCUAAAUACUCCUGACUGACCGAUAGUGAACCAGUACCGUGAGGGAAAGGCGAAAAGAACCCCGGCGAGGGGAGUGAAAAAGAACCUGAAACCGUGUACGUACAAGCAGUGGGAGCCUCUUUAUGGGGUGACUGCGUACCUUUUGUAUAAUGGGUCAGCGACUUAUAUUCUGUAGCAAGGUUAACCGUAUAGGGGAGCCGAAGGGAAACCGAGUCUUAACUGGGCGUUAAGUUGCAGGGUAUAGACCCGAAACCCGGUGAUCUAGCCAUGGGCAGGUUGAAGGUUGGGUAACACUAACUGGAGGACCGAACCGACUAAUGUUGAAAAAUUAGCGGAUGACCUGUGGCUGGGGGUGAAAGGCCAAUCAAACCGGGAGAUAGCUGGUUCUCCCCGAAAGCUAUUUAGGUAGCGCCUCGUGAACUCAUCUUCGGGGGUAGAGCACUGUUUCGGCUAGGGGGCCAUCCCGGCUUACCAACCCGAUGCAAACUACGAAUACCGAAGAAUGUUAUCACGGGAGACACACGGCGGGUGCUAACGUCCGUCGUGAAGAGGGAAACAACCCAGACCGCCAGCUAAGGUCCCAAAGUCAUGGUUAAGUGGGAAACGAUGUGGGAAGGCACAGACAGCCAGGAUGUUGGCUUAGAAGCAGCCAUCAUUUAAAGAAAGCGUAAUAGCUCACUGGUCGAGUCGGCCUGCGCGGAAGAUGUAACGGGGCUAAACCAUGCACCGAAGCUGCGGCAGCGACGCUUAGGCGUUGUUGGGUAGGGGAGCGUUCUGUAAGCCGUUGAAGGUGUCCUGUGAGGGGUGCUGGAGGUAUCAGAAGUGCGAAUGCUGACAUAAGUAACGAUAAAGCGGGUGAAAAGCCCGCUCGCCGGAAGACCAAGGGUUCCUGUCCAACGUUAAUCGGGGCAGGGUGAGUCGACCCCUAAGGCGAGGCCGAAAGGCGUAGUCGAUGGGAAACAGGUUAAUAUUCCUGUACUUGGUGUUACUGCGAAGGGGGGACGGAGAAGGCUAUGUCAGCCGGGCGACGGUUGUCCCGGUUUAAGCAUGUAGGCGGAGGUUCCAGGUAAAUCCGGUACCUUGUUAACGCUGAGGUGUGAUGACGAGGCACUACGGUGCUGAAGUGAUAAAUGCCCUGCUUCCAGGAAAAGCCUCUAAGCAUCAGGUAACACGAAAUCGUACCCCAAACCGACACAGGUGGUCAGGUAGAGAAUACCAAGGCGCUUGAGAGAACUCGGGUGAAGGAACUAGGCAAAAUGGUGCCGUAACUUCGGGAGAAGGCACGCUGAUAUGUAGGUGAAGUCCCUGCGGACGGAGCUGAAAUCAGUCGAAGAUACCAGCUGGCUGCAACUGUUUAUUAAAAACACAGCACUGUGCAAACACGAAAGUGGACGUAUACGGUGUGACGCCUGCCCGGUGCCGGAAGGUUAAUUGAUGGGGUUAGCGGCAACGCGAAGCUCUUGAUCGAAGCCCCGGUAAACGGCGGCCGUAACUAUAACGGUCCUAAGGUAGCGAAAUUCCUUGUCGGGUAAGUUCCGACCUGCACGAAUGGCGUAAUGAUGGCCAGGCUGUCUCCACCCGAGACUCAGUGAAAUUGAACUCGCUGUGAAGAUGCAGUGUACCCGCGGCAAGACGGAAAGACCCCGUGAACCUUUACUAUAGCUUGACACUGAACACUGGUCCUUGAUGUGUAGGAUAGGUGGGAGGCUUUGAAGCGUGGACGCCAGUCUGCGUGGAGCCAACCUUGAAAUACCACCCUUUAAUGGCUGGUGUUCUAACGUAGACCCGUAAUCCGGGUUGCGGACAGUGUCUGGUGGGUAGUUUGACUGGGGCGGUCUCCUCCCAAAGAGUAACGGAGGAGCACGAAGGUUGGCUAAUCCUGGUCGGACAUCAGGAGGUUAGUGCAAUGGCAUAAGCCAGCUUGACUGCGAGCGUGACGGCGCGAGCAGGUGCGAAAGCAGGUCAUAGUGAUCCGGUGGUUCUGAAUGGAAGGGCCAUCGCUCAACGGAUAAAAGGUACUCCGGGGAUAACAGGCUGAUACCGCCCAAGAGUUCAUAUCGACGGCGGUGUUUGGCACCUCGAUGUCGGCUCAUCACAUCCUGGGGCUGAAGUAGGUCCCAAGGGUAUGGCUGUUCGCCAUUUAAAGUGGUACGCGAGCUGGGUUUAGAACGUCGUGAGACAGUUCGGUCCCUAUCUGCCGUGGGCGCUGGAGAAUUGAGGGGGGCUGCUCCUAGUACGAGAGGACCGGAGUGGACGCAUCACUGGUGUUCGGGUUGUCAUGCCAAUGGCACUGCCCGGUAGCUAAAUGCGGAA